AUUGAACGCUGGCGGCAGGCCUAACACAUGCAAGUCGAGCGGAUGAAGGGAGCUUGCUCCUGGAUUCAGCGGCGGACGGGUGAGUAAUGCCUAGGAAUCUGCCUGUUAGUGGGUGAUAACGUCCGGAAACGGGCGCUAAUACCGCAUACGUCCUGAGGGAGAAAGUGGGGGAUCUUCGGACCUCACGCUAUCAGAUGAGCCUAGGUCGGAUUAGCUAGUUGGUGGGGUAAAGGCCUACCAAGGCGACGAUCCGUAACUGGUCUGAGAGGAUGAUCAGUCACACUGGAACUGAGACACGGUCCAGACUCCUACGGGAGGCAGCAGUGGGGAAUAUUGGACAAUGGGCGAAAGCCUGAUCCAGCCAUGCCGCGUGUGUGAAGAAGGUCUUCGGAUUGUAAAGCACUUUAAGUUGGGAGGAAGGGAAGUAAGUUAAUACCUUGCUGUUUUGACGGUACCAACAGAAUAAGCACCGGCUAACUUCGUG
rnacentral:rRNA from 1 species